AAAUUAAUUACUUUUUAAUUAAUAUACCACAAUAAUGUACAACAUGGAUUUCAUACACGUCAUUAUAGUAUUAUUCGCGUCACCGACUUACACCAUACAUAUAUUCGACGAAAAGGCAGACGAUUUAAUGGACAAGUACCUAGUGGAUGUCUACACAAUCAGAUCCAGAUUUAACUCUCCGUUACAAAAUCCAGCUCCAAAUUUUAUAUCUGAAACCACAUUAUCGCCGCGCAAGCGCCCAUACCACGCAACCAAACAUCCCGUGAAAGAUGUUCACUUCAAUUUAACUAAAUCGCAGUUCUUAGAAAACCGGCAGAACGAAAAAGUAGCAGCCAUACUAAAAGCAGGAAAUAAUCCGCCACCAAACUUUGAAAUUGACGAAUUAAAUGUGCUAUCGAGAAGAUUUGAUAGCAUUCGUAAAGAUAGCCUCAAGCGGAAUGAUGAAUACUUAAGAGAAUUAUAUUUCUCAAAAGAAGAUUAUGGCGUAAAAGCUAAAUCACGUAAAAACAGAACUAUUCGGUUGAUGGAACAGUUCAUAUAUGAGACUCAGUAUAAGUUGACUUAUGUACAAGUUCUGAGGAAGAAGUAUAUUUUGCAGCCGAGGUACAGAAUCGGUUACUGUUUUUCGUUAUUGGCCAAUUUGCGAAAUCAGCAGUUCGUUCUGUUCGAUGCGUUACGGCGUAAUAAGGACUUUUGGACGACGUUGUACAUUCAUCUUAAGUUGUAUGAGAAGAUAGUGAGGCUGGACGUGGAUAUACGAGACUUGAUAGCAUAUAUAAAGAAAUUAAAUUGGGACAGAAUGCCGAAAGAGGAACCAAUCUACUUCGAUAGCGUUAAGCAUAUGCAACAAUGAUGACAAUUCCUAAUAUAAUGGAAUCAUGAGAAUUUAUCAAAAACACAUUUUUUUAAAUUUUAACACGUUUCUAGAAAUUAAUUAACAGGAUUCGUUUGUAAAGGAACUUUUGGGAAGAUGAAUAUUAAUUAAUUAUACGGUAAUUUUCUUGAUGC